rnacentral:lncRNA from 1 species
AACCAACGAAACGAAACCCUUAAACAUAAACCAACCAUCGAUCAGUGAAGAUCGAUCGAUCUACCAUGAGAACCUGCUGCUCUCACACCCUGCCCAUGAAAAGGAAAAGAAUUUGUUAUCUGAAAUCUUCAUCGGAAAACUUACCACCGUCGAAACUGACCAAGAGAACCAGCUGCGCUCAUACCCUGCCAAUGAAAACGAAAAGAACCUUUUCCCUGAAAUCAUUACCGGAAAAUUUACCACCGUCGAAACUAAUCACGAGAACCGGCUGCUCUCAUACCCUGCCAAUGAAAGCGAUAAGAACUUGUUCCCUGAAAUCUUCACCGGAAAAUUUAGCAGCGGCGAAACGGACCGAAGAUCGAUCUACCAUCUGUCCAUCUUCACCGGCCGGAAGUCCAUUGAAAAGGAAGAAGAGAACUUCAGAAUCAUAUUUACCUGACGAUUGUUGGGAGAUUAUCAUAAAAUCAUCUCAAAUCAACUUCAAUUCUCUAUCUCUCGUUUCAAAACAAAUCCUCUCCAUCACUAAUCGUCUUCGGUUUUCACUCUCCGUCACUGAUGCAUCACGUCAUUACCUCCCUCGUCUCUUGAAAAGGUUCACCAACCUCACUUCCCUCGACCUCUCCCGCUACAACUAUUUACCGAACGAUCUUCUCUGCAAAAUAUCUAACUUCCCAUUGAAAAAACUCACAUCACUCAAACUCCCUGUCCCUACCCCCUUUCCAGCAGAUGGCUUGCUCGCAUUCUGCCAAACCGUUACAACAUUGACCUCUCUCACUUGUUCCCGUGCUUCUUUUGUUCACAGCCAGCUCUUACCCGUUGCUCAUUGUUUCCCUUUGCUCAAACACCUCGACCUCUCUCGCCCUUGGUACAACCUCUCUCAGCCUGUUGAGGAUCAUAUUAAUGGAAUUAGCUCUCUGUUAUCCAACUCUCCAUAUAUACAACAUUUGGAUCUUAGUCACACUAAUUUUCUCAAUGAUCAACAUGUUGCCGAGUUCUCUUUGUUUCUUGCUCAUUUGGUGUCUAUAAACCUUACUGGAUGUUGGAAGCUGACAGAAUCAGCUUUGUUUUCGCUCGUUAUAAAUUGUCCUUCACUUAGUGACAUCAAAAUGGAAUACACAACUAUUGGGAAUGAGAGUAUUGGAGGAGGAGGAAGGGAGGAUUCUAAUUCUUUUGCUGUCGUAAGCCCGAAAGUAAAGUCUCUUUGUUUGGCUCGCUGUCAAUACUUGAGAGAUCAAAACAUUAUAUUGUUUGCUUCCAUUUUCCCCAACUUGGAGGUGCUUGAUUUGAGCUAUUGGAAGGAAGUGUCUGAAGAAACUGUUUNCUUAUUUACAUUGUGCAUUUCUCCUUGCUGUCACAACAUGACUUCAAGUUUUUGGGACUUAAAAUUGCCAUGAAUUUGCUAGAAAUGGUUUGUUAAAAUGUCUACUCUAACCGGUCCUAUGGGAACUGUAAUACUAAUGAAAAAUGUAUAAGGGAAUGGAUGGAAUGGAAAGGAUAUGUAUCCCUUAUUCUCCCUGUUUGGAUGAUUAAUUAAUGGAACAAAGUGGAAGGGUCACAAAUGUAAAGUUUCUUUAUAGGUUCCACAACCUGCAAUUUGAAUGGGAACAAAGAAACGAGGGUUCGAAAAGGAAAUGGCUACUCUCUGUUUCUUCCCUUUUAUAAGUUUGUAAACUUCCAAACAAUGAGAUUUUUCAUUAACCCUUUCAUUAUUUAUACAUAUAUAAAUAUAGUGAUAGAGUUAGAAAAACUGUUUUGACAAUUUGCAAGAAUAGUUCGUCAUGCAUUUGGAGACUAAUAUACAUUGCAGGGAGGUACAUUUACUAUGUCCUCUUUAUUAGCUGUAUUUGUUGUUUCUCAUAAUGAUCAUCUUCCUACCUUUGCUUCUACAUGAGCAGCUGAGAGGAGGGUCGUUCCAGGUUCAGGUGGUGAAGAAUUCAAGUUUGCUUCCUUGAGGCUGUUACCCUCAGCUGUGAUCAUCGUGUUAUAAAUGGUAAUUAUUCUUAAUCUGAUGUUGUUACUUAUGCUAUAUAAUUUACUGAUCAUUGACAUAUAUUACUUUACUGUUUAGUGGAGCUAAAUCCCUUUUGUGACUUAAAUUUAGCCUUAUUUUUGUCAUCAUGGGUUGAAUCACCAUUUUUCCUUGAUAUUGUGAUUGUCUGAGUCUGACAAUUUAGUCCCUCAAAUAUAGGAAAUGACAAUUUAGUCCAUUGAAUUAAAAAAAACGUCAAUUAAUAGUCAUUUUCUCAAAUUUAACACCACAAUUUUAAAUGUUCUAUAUUAUCCAACUCUCAUGCAUGCAAGAGAGAAGCUAAUAUGGAGGCAUUUCAUAAGUUUUUAUGGAUGUUUUUUAAAGUGAUAUUUUGGAGGGACUAAAUUGAUUGAGGCUCUCCAAUUUAAGAGCUAAAUCAUCCGAUUCCCAAAAUUUUAAUAAUCAAAAUGGUGAUCCGCUCAAAGAAAACAUGCUAACAAUAUGUUUAUUAUUCUGUUCAGGGGCGAUUGGUGCCGAAUGGUUGAAAGCAUUCAAAGGCUGUAUUGAGAAUCCAUAAACCAUAUUGUUGUAAGUAGAAGGCUCAGAUGAAGUACUCAAUUCCUUUUUUCGAGUGAUAUUGUAUGCGGGAGAUAAGAUUUGAUCACCGGGUAUUUACCCAUUUGGGUUUGGUUGAUUGUAUCCCUGACCAAUUUUUUAUUUAAGUAUUUACUCUCUUACAAUAAAUUUUGCAAAUUUGUAAUUUUUUUAAUAAGUGAGGGUAGAUAAGGCAUUGAAUUUUGAGACCUGAAAUCAUCUUCUUAGAAGAGAAUCCGCCCUUUAUACAAGCAAACGAGGAUCUAACAUUUUCUUUGUUGGAUGGUGUGAAUAAUUGAAACACUAAUUUUAUUUUAUUGGCAUCUCACCUUGUGUUGAUCGAGUAUACAUUUCGGUAACAUGCGAACUUGAAAUCAUCAACUCAAUUUAUAUCUAAGGUUAUAUGAUUGUUGAAUAAUUACUGGAGUUUUCUAUUUAUUCAAACCCUAAUUAUAGUUUGAUAGUCUAAAUAUUUGAUAUAUGAGUAUCAGCAGUUAAAACAUAUGUGAUUUGUCGAAUUGCUUUUUUCUAUUUCAAGCUGAGAUGAAGGGAAUAUUAUCAACUUUUGUAAGUGUCUCUUGGUUAAUUUUUUUCUUCUUUUUUCUUCCUCUCUAGACUAGCAUUAGACAAUGAAGAAACCAAAAUUCUUAUUAUGCAACCUUCGUUCUCAAAUUUACGAAGAAUGGCAAUGUCGCGUAAUUUGAACAUCUCUUCUUUAGAACAAAUUUUUUAAAAAAUACGUAAUUCAACCCGUGCGAAGCACGGGUUUGUAACUAGUUUUUUAUUUAAUAUUUGAGACCAUUGUUUAGUAGGGAGAGAUAUACCAGUGCAUAAUAUUAUUAGUAAUGAAAUUGGUUUGACAGUAAGAAAGGCAGCAGCAAUCAUAAGAAUUCCAUUUGAUUUGCUUGUCUUCCAUUGGUUUAUUUUGAUAUCAGUGGGACAUAAAUCACACACUAACUAUGUAGCAGAGAAAGAACUGAGAACAAUUGAUUUUACAACACUAUAUUUUCAUUCACAACAUGAUACUACACAAUGGUUGCUUCAUGCCUUUCUAUAGGCUUAGUUUCUUAAUACACAAGCUAAAUGAAAAUCUUAAAUGUUAAGUAAAUAAGACGGUGCUGCAGCUGUACUAUACAUGCAGUGCUGCAGUUUGUUCAUGUACAUGCUUAUCUCAAUAUAACGGACAAGCAAUAGCAAAAACUAUUUAGGCUAUUUCAUUUUCCUUUUGGUCCAAUCAUAAUAGUUUCUUAAUGACUAAGUAUUAGAAUUCCGCUCUUAUCUCAGCACAAAACACUCGCGACCAACUGAAAUUACCAAUUUACCCCUGCGUUAUUUAAGUAACUCUGCGUUACUUAACUCAGGCAAGUGUUAAUUCCAGUAUGAGUUAAGUUGUGCAGCACAUGUUAAGAGCGCACAUUUUGACACCUGUGUUACUUAACUAAUAAAGGGGUAUUUUUGGUAUUUCAGUUGGGCGUGAGCAAAAUAUGUUGGGAGAAGAGCAAAAUUCUAAGUAUUAUGCGUCUUCUCCAUUAUUCUAGUAACUUGAUUUAAUUUCUAACAUAAUUUAAUUUUUUUUUUUUGACAAAUUCUAACAUAAUUGUUCUUUAGCACUAGCAAUAAGCGGAAAAAACUUUAUAGGCCAUACACCACCAAAUCAAAACAUAAGAAAAAGCAAAGCAUAAAACCUAACAAUACAAUAAGAAUGCAACUCUGCUAAGAUGAGGUAGCAGGUCCGAAACUCAAAGAAACACCAAAAUAUAAUGCCCUCCAAACCAAGUUCAGCCUCAAAUCGCCACUGACCCCGAACCAUUAAUGGUGAUCGAGACUCCCAUAAAUUCUCCUUUGUAGAAAGACAAUAAAAGACAACCAUAAACACAUUCAAACUGCAAAAGAAUUGGCUGCAGACGGAUGAAGAAAAUGCAGAAAAACAGUCUAAAGCUGCUUCCUCACCUUAGAAAUGCAGCAUGCGGUACACAACUAGCAGAAAGUUUCACUGCCAGCUCCAACAACAGUGUCAUUACUAUGAAUUUUAGUGCACCUUAUUAAUUUAUUUUUCUAUUGCAAAAACAAAACUGAGACCAUGAUUUGUGUAUAAAAAGGAUUAAAAAAAUUUAGUGCACCUUAUUAAUAUUAUUUCAAUUGAGCUUUAGAAUGAUGGAUAUGGAUAUGCAAUGCCUUCUCCACAUCAUGAACCAAGCACGACGUACCCUUAGUUGUGGGAGUUACAAUUGUUUGCCUUUGUUUGUUCACCUUUUAUUUAUUAAUUCAUUUUUUAUUUAUCAAUAUUAUAAUUGUAUGUGCCCGUGCCCGUGCCCAUGCCAUGCUAUUCAGGUUUGCGAUUUCAUUCAUUUGGGUGAGUUCUGUUAUUUUUCUUGACUUCUUUUGAUAAAAUAAUUCGUUGUAGAGAGAGCAUCCUGAACCUUUUAAAUAGUUUCUUGCUAUGAAGUGAUGUUCAACAACCAAAUCAUUGUUUAAGUGUUUAUAAGAAAGGAUGUGCAACACCUAAUUGUUUUGAGCAAUAUGAGGAUAUAUUGAGCUUUAGGUACGAGGACAAGUUAAAUGUAAGCACACAUGUCUUUGUCGAACACUAGAAUACAUUGUACACCAACAUCGACAUGUGUUAUACAUCAACGUCUGUUGAAAGCUAGACACUUCUUCAAUCGGAAGUAUCUGUGCCACAUACCUUAUACAUUAACCGAGUGUUUUCACAACAUUUUGAAAAGGAUCACAUUUUGAAAAGAAAAAAAAAAGUCCUUCUUAAAUCAUUCCCAAAACUCACUUCUCAAAUAGUAGUUUGUUUGAGGAAGCCUCUUUAAUUUAAUGCUUUGAAGUUUGAAUGAGACAUGUGUGUUGUAAGGAAAAAUUGAAGAAGAAUCAUAACCAAGUCUCCAUUUUCCGCGUCACCAAGUCUCCAUUUCCGCGUAUCCUACAAAAUCUGAAAAUUCUGCUUUUGAUAGAGUCUAAAUUUCCCAAUCCAAAUACAUUUGGAUUUCAUGAUCGUUCUUACUAAAACACAUCAUUGCCCUGUUUGGAUUGGCUUAUUUUGAGCUUACGUGGGCUUAUCUACUCCCAUAAUUUUUUUUUAAAGGUGUUUGGAUAAAUAAAUAAAAAUAAUUUAUCAUAGUUUCAUAAGCUGCUUAUGUCAUAUUUUAAUAAGCCUAAAUUUUCAGCUUACCCUCCGACUUAACAAGAAGAAAAUUAUGUAACCUCAUUCAAUUCUCUCUAGAUCUACUUUUUCAAAACAUUUUUUUUUUUGUUAGUUAUCUUUGCAUGAGUAACAAAAUUGCUAUACUUAUCUUGCUAAAGUAUAACACGUAACUAAGAUUUUUAUUAUUUUUUUUAAGGAAGAAUUUUAUUAUUUUUUUUGUUACAUAACAAAUUGAAACUGAAUAAAAAUAAACAAACUUAACUUGUCUUUUUUUGGUAACAAACUGUAUACUAUAUCUAUUUUAUUUUAUUUUUGUUUUUAACUAUUAUUUAUAAAGAUUUUUUCAACAAUGGUGUAAGACUAUUAAACUUUUACAUACAUGAUUAUUUCUUACUAUUAUAUUUAUAUUAUUAUAAUUUUUUUUAAAAGAAAGCUUAUCAUAUAUUAUUAUACUUGUGUGGGAUGAUGUUUAGACUAUUUAUUUACACCUCUAAUGUUAAUUUUGUCUUAUAUGAAUAUUGAUUAUACUAUAUAUACUAAUGGAAAGACGGGCACUAUCGUGCCCGUCUGUCCCCUCUUUCUACUGCGCUAACGCCUGUGAUUAUUUUGUUAUAUUUGUUUGUAUAAUUUUGAUUUAAAUUUUUAAAUAUUAUGGAAAUUAUUGAUAUAUUGAUUUAUAAACAAAAUUAUUUUUGAACUUAACAUAUUUUAGUUUGCCUGCAUAUAAAAUUAAGGUAAAAUAAUGAUCAUUUAUUGUUUAUUCUAGGGUAAAUACCUCUUUUCGUCCCUGUAAUAUUAGCGAAUUUCGGUUUUAGUCUCUGUAAAAAAAAGAUUUAGAUUUUGUCCCCGUAAUUUCAUAUUCUUCCACUUUUUGUCACUCCUUUCAUCACAUCGGCAGAAUCUGCAUAAAUUAUGUCCCUAUAAUUUCAUAUUCCUCCCACUUUGGUCCCUGUAUUUUCAGAUUCCUCCACUUUUGGUCCCUCAUUUUACGUGCAUGCAGAUUCUGCUUACGUGGUGGAAUGAGGGACCAAAAGUGGAAGAAUCUGAAAUUACAUGGACAAAAUCUAAUUUUUUUUUUUACAGUGACUAAAACCGGAAUUCGCUAAUAUUACAUAAACGAAAAGAGGUAUUUACCCUUAUGGGUAAAUACAUCUAAGUAUAAAUGACAUAAAUGUGUGUGUUGUGAAAAAGAAACAUCAUAAAUAAAUGUAUAAAUGACAUGUUAUGUAAAAGAAACAUCGUUAUGAUUGCGAUAAAAGAAUAUCUUUAAAAACUACAUUUUUCGUAAAGUCUCCAUCUUCUCCUUCUAUUUUCCCUUAUUUAAUGAAAACUUUUGUUGAAUUUUGAGAAACUCCUCUUGGUAAAGCUACAUAUAAUUGACCAUAGCUGAAAACAUGUCGUGGAAGAUAGAUUCUGACAUUGAGAAUGGUAUGUCCUUGCGACUUAUUUAUGGUAAUAGCAAAACUUAGUUUAGGGAAGUAAUGAACUCGCAUUUGUUUUUAAUUUAAUUAUUGGUAAGAAUGCUCUUUUUUCAGCAUUACUUCAUGUUAGGAUUUCCACAUCCAACAUAUUGUUAAAUAAACAACGACAUAACAAUCGUGUUUCAUUACAUAGGCCAUAUCUAGGGUCUAUGUUUCGCAAAAACAUCAAAGGUGCACCUUCUUUUACCUUGAGCAGUUGAGUUUAAGAAUUCUUGUUGAUAUAAGUUAUGAGUAUUCUCUUCAACCUCGUUAAACGACAACAAAUUAUGUUAUUCUCCUGAAAACUAAUUGAUAAUUAUGUCAUUCAAUUUUUGAACAUCAUCAUUUGUAGGUGUAAUUAUGGCUCUUUCGACCACACACACACACACACACAUAUAUGAAUUAUGAUAAUACUCAUCGCCUUUGAAUCACAUACACUCCUCAUAUUAGAUGUGUCUGAACAGGUGUUGCAUCCGCAUCCAUAAAUAUAAUUACCUUAAAUUAUGUGAUUUUCUCAAAUCAUCAAUAUUAUUGGCGUGUCAGUAUCCAUAUUGUAUCUGGUGUCGGUGUUUGUAUCCAUAAAUUAGAGUUCCUCUCUUUUUAUGGCCUCUCAGAUGGUGGUUGAAUGUAACCAUAAACAAAAGAUGGUAGUUUGAAGCUUUCUAGUGCUUCUGUUUUUAGUUGUUGGUAACAUGAAUGUGAUUAUUGUUUAACAAUUUUGAAUUGUUUAAAUGGUUUUAACACUUUGAUUUCACUGUAUUUUGUUAGAUAUUCAAUGGAGGCCAUGAGAGUAGUUUAUCAAUUGUAUACAUGCCAAACGUUUGGAAUCACAAAGAAAAAAGCAAUGCUUUUAUUCCUUUAAACGACAAUGGAAUGAGCUUAACGGCAGGGGAUGUUAUUGCUUAUUUUACCGUUAUUUAAUAAUUAAAAAAAUCACGGUUCUCUUUAUAUAAAAAAAAAAGAAGAAGAAGAAGUCAUGCUAUCAUAGUUUGUAUAAGCAAUUAUAAACCAGCAAAGUCAAAUAAUUCUUAAAAUUAAUCAUAAACAAUUUGAAUCAUAAUCGCUUAUAAACAAGCAAAGUCAAAUAUAUAAUCCAUAAAAUUAAUCGACUUUGAUUAGUUGUAACAUGAAAGAAAAAGAAAAAAAUAAACAGGUUAAUUCUGAAUUCUAAUGCAAAGAGGGUUGAGAGAGGUUAAGAAAAACAAAACAAUGCAGGAACAAACUAUUAAAUGUAACCCUACUUAUUAAUAUUUAAUAUAGUGCUAACAAAUUUUUUUCUAAAAUAUUGAGUCCUAGUCUUUUUUUAGAGGAUUUAAAGUCCAAUCUUUAACAUUAUAUUUUGCUCACGUUUGUUGCUAAUCUUUUUAUCAUAAGAUUUAAAGUUCAAUCUUUAACAUUAUUUUUUGCUCACGUUUGUUGCUAAUCUUUUUUUAGAGUAUUUAAACUCCAAUCUUUAACAUUAUUAUUUUUUUUCUCACGUUUGUUACUAUCUUUUUUUUAGAGGAUUUAGAGUCCAAUCUUUAACAUUAUUUUUUGGUCACGUUUGUUACUAAUCUUUUUUUUAGAGAUUUAAAGUCCGAUCUUUAACAAUAUUUUUUGCUCACAUUUGUUACUAAUCUUUUUUUUAGAGAAUUUAAAGUCCAAUCUUCACCAUUAUUUUUUGCUCACGUUUGUUACAAUUGAUCAAAGGCUAACGAAGAGUAACUUAUACUAAUAAAAUAAUAUGGAAAUACUGUUUUUUGUGGAAGGGAUAUGAAAAUACUUGGAAAUCUUUGUCGGUUGUAUUGAGGGGAACAACACAGAUGUCCAACAUAAAAUGUAUUGAGGGGAACAACACAGAUGUACAACAUAAAAUCGCUAAUAAAAAAAUAACAUGAGUUUUUGUUUUGUGCUAGUUUUAUGUGAGUUUGAUUUGUGGUUAACGGAAGUAAAAGAUGGUUAACGGGGACGAUCAGUGACAUGGAUUAGUAAUCCACGUGUUAUUUUAUAAUUGGCUAACAGUAAGAACAAUUCAUAAGGAAUUGUGCGUAAGUUUUCUCCUUAAAUUAAAUUUAUUCUUAUCUCUUUGUUACAUGUGUUAUUUCUAUUUAAAAUUAAAAUUAAAAUUAAGGGUAUUUUUGGAAAGAAAAUUCCAACCCAAAAGUGUGUUGAAAAGGGUAGUUUUCUUUAUAUAUAGUAUAGAUAAUUAUAAUUAAUAUAUUAUAAUAUUUUUUUUAUGAUUAAUUUUAUCAAACAAAAAUUGAUAAUUGUGGUUCGAUUGUUUGAUUUUUUUGGUUAAAUUAAAAAUAUUUAAAAUUUUGAUAAUUGCUUAUGUAAUGUCACAUCCAAACACUUCAAUUUAUUUAAGUACUUUUUAGUGUACAUAUCCAAACAUGAAUAGCUUAUCAAGUAUAAAAGCUUAUGAUGUAAGCUCUAAUGAUAUAUGCUCUAAUGCUAUAAUGAUAUAAGCUCUAAUGCUAUAAUGAUGUAAGCUCUAAUGAUAUAAACUCUUAUGAUGUAAGCUCUAAUGAUAUAAGCUCUAAUGCUAUAAGUUGUUUAUCCAAACGGGGCCAUAUCCUUAAUUUUUUGUACAUAAUAGUUAUUUUGCAAAAUUUAAUUUAUUUUUAAAAAAAAAUUACGGAUAAUGAUCAUCAUCAUCAUCAGUGUAAUCAAUUUCUAUGGAUAACUAAAUAAGUUAUUUGUUUUUAAAAAAUUAAUUAUGGAAAAUGGUCAGAUCUGCUAACAAUAUAUAACAUUUACUAACAAUCUACUCACAAUCGAAGUUCAGCAAAAUUUCAUAAUUGUCCUUAUUAAAACUCAUGAUCUCUUUAAUUUAAUGUGCAUAAUGGUCAUUUUGAUAAAUUUCAUUUAUUUGUUUUUAAAAAAAUUAAUGACGGAUAAUUGUCAUAUCACUUGUGUAACCAGUUUUUACGGAAUGGGUUAAAAAAAUAAUUACGGAUAAUGGUCAGAUCUACUAACAAUAUAUAAAAAUCAAACUCCAUACAAAAUUUUAAUCGUCCUUAUUAAAACUGACGAUCGCCGUAAUUUUAUUUGCAUUAUGGCCAUUUUGCAAAAAUUAAUUUAUUUGUUUUUAAAAUAAUUAAUUACGGAUAAUGGUCAUCACAAGUGUAAUCAAUUUCCACGGAUAACUAUGGAACUAAUUUAUUUGUUUUUUUAAAUAAUUAAUUACGGAUAAUUCCAAUAUUUUUAUCAUAUUUUGCUGGACUUCAAUUUUUAUAUAUUGUUAGUAGAGUUUGCAAAAUGACCAUUAUGCACGUAAAGUUAAGGAGAUGAGUUUUAACAAGGAAAAUUAUGAAAUUUUGUUAAACUUCGAUUUUUAUAUAUUGUUAGUAGAAAUUUUAUGUGUAUGAUGGUCAUUUUUCAAAAUUUAAUUUAUUUGUAUUUUAAAAAAUUAAUUACCGAUAAUUGUCAUCACAAAUGUAACAAAUUUCCACGGAUAACUAUGAAGCUAAUUUAUUUGUUUGUUAAAAAAUUAAUUACAAAUAAUGAUCACAUCUACUAACAUUAUAAUUAUAAUAAAAAUUAAAGUCAAGCAAAAUUUCUUAAUCAUUCUUAUUAAAACUGGGGAUCUCCUAAAUUUAAUAUGCAUAAUGGUUAUUUUGUAAAAUUUCAUUUAUUUAGUUUUUUUAAAAACAUUAGUUACAGAUAAUGGUCAUUAAAGGUGUAACCAAUUUCUUCGGAAUGGAAGUGAGACCAUCCAGAAUGGUGGGUGCUUAACCUAUUUAGCACAAUAUUAAAUAGGCACCCCCACUGUGGAGCAAAAUAUAUGGGUGUAUAUGGAGAAGGGUGGCUAUGAAAGUACCCUCUCUCUUCAUUUUUUGUUGGUCAUAUUUAAUGAGUCUUAAUAAUUUAAAUAAAUUUUGUUGAAAUGUAGUGAUAUAUAUUUAUUUCUGGGACCUAGUUAAUAAUUUCUUUUAAGAUGCUGGGUUGGAGAAAAUUGGUGUUUAUUAAGUAUUACCGAAAAAUUAAUGAUGUAGACACAGGUGGUUCAUUUAAGCACCCAAUUUUGGGUGCUCUAUUGUGGAUGGUCUAAGUUAUUUGUUUUUUUUUUAAAAUUAAUUACAAAUAAUGGUCAGACUUACAUAUAUUAUGCAUUGUCCAUAUCAACUAAGUUAAGCUCACGAAGACAAUCUUCUUAAUUUUAUUUACAUAUUGAUCAUUUUGAAUAAUUUAAUUUAAUUUAUUUAAAAAAAAUCAUUUCAGAUAGUGGUCAUCACAAGUGUAACCAAUUUUCACUGAUAACUUUGAAACUAAUCUAUUUGUUUAUAAUUUUUUUUUUUUACGGAUAGUUCCGAUAUUUUAUCAUAUCUACUUUCUCAUGUAUAGGUAUAUAAAAUUUGUUUAUGUAGAUAUGAACCUUUAAAAUCUGCAACAGGAACGGUGCAAAUAUUGAAUGGUGUUUUACAUAUAAAUUAAUUUUUUUAUUAAUAUAAAUACUACAUUAAUAUUGAUAUUUUAAAAAUAGUCACGAUUUUUCAAAAUUUUAUCAUAUCGACUAUCACAUAUCAGUACAUAAAAAUUUUCUUCUGCAUAUAUAAACAUAAAAUCCUCAACGAGUGUGGUUUGAAUAUUUAACGGUGUUCUAAAUAUAAAAUAAAAUUUUAUUUAAUAGACACAUUACAUUAAUGUGAAGUAAAAUAAUAUCACAAAAAAUGGGGGUUUGAAUUGUGAUCUAAUAAAAAUUACCAAUGAAAAUUUCUCAAGUGAUUACUUGGAUUGAUUAGUUAAUAAACAAUAAUAACAGUGGAGCGUGUGAUAUUGAAAAAUAAAGAGAGAUAUGGAAAGAAAAUUCACACACAAAUAACUAUCACAUAAUACUGUGAGAUUUUCCAAUAUGUAGUCGAGUAAUAAUUAUAUCUCAACUAAGUCUUUUUUUAGACCACUUCUUCGAUCUAUACAAUUUCUUUCUUUUCACCUAUUUUAGCUUCACACUACCUUUUACAAAUAACUAUCACAUUUCUUGAUAGACUUUUGUUAUUGCUUUGAUUUGUUUUUGGCCUUUGUAAAGAAUUGAAAUAAAAGAGUUGCUGUUGGAUUUCUUGAUGAGAGAAUCUUUAAGAUUUCUUGAUGAAUAAAAACCAAGUGUAUGGAUAUUGCUUCAAAAUGACUCGAUAUGUUCUCCUUUGAAUGGCCUAUUUAUAGAGGAGAGAGUGAUCCUUGCUGAUGAGAAUAAGUGAGCUUGCAAAUAGGGAUGGAUCCAUAUUGAAACAUGGUGUGGCACUUGCCACACCAGAUUAUUAUCCAUUUUUUAAUAGGUAUGUACACCUAUAAUAGUUUAAAGGUAUAUGAUAAAUAUUAUUUCGUGCAAAUUAUGAUAACUUGUAAAGCGUGUCCUAGUGGUAACUAUCAAGGGUUCUUUGCUUCAGUGUUUUUCCAUAAUAAUUUUUGCAUUUCUCUUGAUUUUUUUUAAUUGUCAGCAGUGAACUUUGCGCUCAUUGGGAGUUUUAGAAAAACAUCCUUAGAAAAACACUUUUUUAUGUGAUGAAUUAUUUAUAAAAUAUUCUUUUUUAUUAUUGUUGAUUUUAAGUUAUUUGGAGUGCAUAGAGAAUUAAUUUAAGGCAUUUAGUUCAAUUUUUUUAUGAUUAACUUAAUGCUUAUUACAACUUAAAUUUUGUGUUUUUAUCUUACAGUUUUAGUUUAUUCUAGUGUCCCACCUAAUUUUUUUUUCCAUGACUCCGUUACCGUUUUAUGUCAAGACACUAAUAACACUUACAUGUUCAGAUGUUUGGGUUUCACUAAUUACAAUGGAAGAAUUUUUUUCUCUAAUACUAUUGUAUUGUAGUUGCAGUUUCGUCUAUAGACGAUUUUUAUUUUAAAUGUAUUGAAUCAAACAAUGUUAUUUAUUAUUUUUAGUAUAAUUUAAUUCAUAAAUUCUUUCAUAUUUUUGCCACACUAAAAUACAAUGUCUGGAUCCGCCCCCUGCUUGCAAGGAACAUAAGUGGAAUAUAAUGUGUGCCACAUCAUUAGAGGUCUUUAACAGUUUACUAAAAUCUCAAACCUUGGGAAAACUUUCGGCUGAAACACCCAAGCCAUAUACUACCCUCAAUUUUCCACGUGAAUGGUAUUUUUAGAGUGCCACCUUGAAAAUCUUGAAUAGUGGCGUGUUGUUGCUUUUGUACAAACAGGUACUACUUUCGUCUUCUAACAUCAUGCAAAAUGAAACUUAAAAUCUUUGUACUUUUUUAAAAUUGUGGGACCCUUUUCAUUUUUCCUUAUUGAUGUGUUGUUGAGUUCUUAUUUAUCCAUGUGCUUUUACAAGUAGUUCUAGGCUCUGUUUGGUAAAAAUAGCGGAUAGCUGAUAAGCUAGCUGAUAACUUUUAGCUUAUAAGCUAGCUGGUAGCUUUUAACUGAUAAGCUAACUGAAGUGUUUGGUAAAAAUAGCGGUUCAACUAGCUGAUAAAUGUAAAAUGACAUAAAGGGUAUUCUUAAUUCAUAAUAAAAAUUAUAUCAUUAAUUUAAGUAUUUGUAAUUUUGUAAACUAAUUUUUCUUUNNNNNNNNNNNNNNNNNNNNNNNNNNNNNNNNNNNNNNNNNNNNNNNNNNNNNNNNNNNNNNNNNNNNNNNNNNNNNNNNNNNNNNNNNNNNNNNNNNNNNNNNNNNNNNNNNNNNNNNNNNNNNNNNNNNNNNNNNNNNNNNNNNNNNNNNNNNNNNNNNNNNNNNNNNNNNNNNNNNNNNNNNNNNNNNNNNNNNNNNNNNNNNNNNNNNNNNNNNNNNNNNNNNNNNNNNNNNNNNNNNNNNNNNNNNNNNNNNNNNNNNNNNNNNNNNNNNNNNNNNNUAAUAAGGGUAAAAUUGGAAGAAAAAGUGAGAAGCUAUAAGCUAUAAGCUCAAACGCUACUUGGAAUAGCUUCUGAAAAAUAGCUUAUAAGCUCGUGAAAUAAGUUAUAAGCUCAUGGUGAAAAAGUGUUACCAAACAGAGCUUUUUUUGUCAAACAAGCUUAUAAGCUAUAAGCUAAAAAUUAAAAGCUCUUAUUUUGGGUUUACCAAACAGAGCCCUAGUAUCCAAAAGAAGAAGCAUGCUAUCUCAUAAGUUCCUUUUGCAAUAUAAUAUUUUGACUUGUAACGUGUGAUCUCACACCUUAAUGCAAUAUUCAGCACCUUAAUUUGUCUUUUUAGAAGUUGACUUUUAGCAAAUGAAUCUGUAGUCAUAAAUUCAGAACCGAAAAUAAAAAAUGGCUUUGCUAUAUUCAUGUUGUAAUUAACAAUAACGAAUAUGAUGGUAUUAGUACAUUUUGUCGAAGUGCAAUUGAUAAAAUAACACAUCAUUUUUCUUUUAACGAAAAUGUUUCAUUCAUGUCAGAAAAAGUGCCAAUAUAGAAUAUUGCAAUGGUUCAAGAAAAAAAAAAUCUAGCUUAAAUAGUAGCCUUAAUUGCACUUUUGGACCUCUAUCUUUUCAAAAGUUGCGGUUAUAGACCCCUAACUAAUUUAAAUACAAAACAGCCCCUUAUGUUUUGAUUCUUUGACAGUUUUGGACCCCCAAGGCAAAAAAAAAAAAAAAAAAGACACGUGGCACCUCACUUAGAGCGCCACGUCAGCGUUGACCGAGUCAACAAUGGACUGAGGGUCCAAAACUGCCAAAGAAUCAAAACAUAGGAGGCUGUUUUGUAUUUAAAUUAGUUAGGAGUCCAAAAGUGCAAUUAAACCUAAAUAGUAGUCACAAAGACAUACAUAUAUCAGUACAUAGAGACAGAAAUUAAAAACAAGAUAGAACAUAAACAAAUAAUAAAAAUAGCAGCUAGUUUUGCCAAAAGCUAAUUCAUUUUCUCCCUCAUUAUCAUCGCAAAAAGGCAGAGGGAGUGGCCCUGGAACUGAUAUGCACAAACGAUCAAGCUUGGUAAUGGGUGAAAUCGCCAUGAAAAGUGGGGUAGACAGGAACCGAUGGUUUGAGACCAAAAGGACAUUUGACACACAGUUCAUUGACAAUCCAAUCCCUUAGGUUGGCAUCGUUCAAAUUUUUUAAAGGACAUCAUGUUGUACAUUAUUUCGAAUUUUUUAAAUGUGUCAAAUUUUGGUGGCUGAUCAGCUUGGUUUGGAGCGACAGGUUUGCUAGUGCGUAUCAAAGUUGCCGAAUUUGUAGGCAGAGGAGGAAGUGACAUAUCAUCAAGGAAAGUUUGCUUGAGGGAGAUAAAGGUACCAAUGGAGGAGCUAGGUGUCUUGAGAAAGGAGUUGAGAAGGUCCGAACCAAAAAUCGAAGGUGGACGACUUUCAUGGUUCAUACCGAAAUGAAUUACCAAUAAUUGGUAAAAGCCAUUCUUCAACAAUCAACACUACAUAAUCUUGAUGCAUGCUUUGUUCACGUUUUAUAGUGGCUCUUUGACAUUUUUGCACCAUUAAUUUUUUAUACCAACAUCUUUUCAAAGUAUAGGAAAUCACUUAGAGGAGUGACAGUAGUGGAGAUCUUAAGGUGAUGAGUGAGGUGACUUACAAAAAUAGUAAAUUUAAAGGAAUGGAAAAGGUGAUUUACUUGAAUAAUAACAAGGAGUAUCAAAAGCAAACAAAAUGGCUUUGUUAGAUCAUAUACACUACUACAAAAUACCCCCUUUAAUAGCAUUCAUUUAAGCGUUUAAUAGCGCUUGUGAGGUGCUAAGAAAACCCCCGCUAUUAUAGGUCAGAACCCUAUAAUAGCGCUUUCAAAACGCUAUUAAAUAGACAGGUGUUUCUUAGCGCUUUCAGAAAAGCGCUAACAAAGCUUUUUUUAUGAGCAACCUAUAUUAGUGGCCGACCAAAAGCGCUAAAAUAAGCCUGUCAGUGGUAUUUUUGAUAGCACUUACUAAAAAGCGCUAUUAAAGUUGUGCUAUUAAAGCUAAAAAUUGUAGUAGUGAUACCGUGAAGAUAGGGCUGGCACACUCUAAACUGUACUGUCUAGUUUUGCAAGGCUGCAAACUUUACAAGUGUACAUUAAGCUGCCAAACUUAUUUUGAACUGUGAACGAUCUUGAAAAAGAAGUCAACAAAAGCAAAGGUAGAGAUCGGUCAUUGAGAAUGGGUGGUGUAAAAUACAUGGCAGGAUGUUUCCACCGAUCCACAACUAAAGAAGAGAAUGAUUUCAAUUUGGUCAAUUAAAUAAAAUUAGAGAAAGAACAAUGGAUUGCUAGAAUCUGCUGAUGAGACUAUGUGAAGGUCCCCCUGCAUGUAUUUUGAAACCCUCUACCAUUUUGUUUAAUAGGUAAGGAUUUUAGCUACCCGGUAUCAUGUAAUUACUGAAAGAAUGGAUGUGCUAUUUUCAUUUUGCAUUUCAACAAUUCCAGGGGCUUCUUCCUUAAAAUAAAAAAAUAAAAAAUUCUAGGCGCAAAUGAUUAUGUUGCACUUUUCUUUUUUGACUUCUUAAUUUUUUCAUAAGGUGUGUUAUUUGAACAAUCAUUUCUGUGACAACUUUUAAGAUAACCAUAAAUUUACAAAGAAAAUAUGUAUUGACACCGAAACCAAAGCAAUAAAGAGAGAAAGUCAAAACAUGAUGUGAGUAUGAGAGAGAAGGUUAUAACAAAAGUUAUCAUAAAAUGGUUGUACAAAUAUCAUUUCUCUUUUUUCAUUUCUAUCACUUACUUUUGUUGUAUUUCGGACGUUUAUGAUAUUUCUAAUUGGAAGCGAGAACCUUAUAAUUGUUGGAAAAUGCCUCCAUAAUUUCUCUCAUCCGUGAACUUAAAAUAUGCACUUUAGCAAAAAUGUAAAAUGACACACAACAAAAUUUUAGUGAGGAAAACCUUCUCAAUAUGAGUAAGGAACAAUCACGGGACUCAUAGACCUCUUAAAUCUCCACUAUAAUAAUAAUGGAAUAAAAAAUCUUCACCCUCGGGUGGACCUAACUAUGUAUCUCAAAAGAAUGAGGUGCAUUCCUUGACACUUGAAUACCAACGUUCAAGACGCUUAUUGAAUGUUGAAGUCCUGCCGAUUAACAAGUUUGAAUUGCCCCAUCCAGAGUAAGAUAAUUGUUGGAGUUGGAAUGUGCAUUCCAACUACAACAAUUGUCUUACCUUUGAAUGGGGUCAAUUCAAACUUGCUAAACAACAUGACUCAAGCAUUUCACCCGCCAUUCAUGUUUUCGUUUGAAAAGAAUAAAUUUUUGUUAGGCUUGCUUUAGAUGAUGGUAUUUAAUUGCCAACGGAAUGAAGUUCAUUCCUUGACACUUAAUACAUUCAUCUAAACCAGUCUAACAAGAAUUUAAUCUUUUCAAAGGAAAAACAUGAAUGCCGAGCGAAAUGCUUGAGUCCUGACCGUUUGGCAAGUUUGAAUUACCCCAUUUCAGAGGUAAGAAGACAAUUGUUGCAGUUGUAAUGCACCUUGCCCUAACUUAUGACGAUCUUCUAGCGGAAUCAAACUUUUGAUGAUAUCUUUAGUUGAUCUCAGCAACGUCACCCGCAUAUCGAUCCAUUAUAGGGGUGUUCAAAACCGAACCAACCCAAUAGAAAAACCGCAAACCGAACCAACCCAAACCGCAAAAAAUCGCACUUGGUUCGGAUGAGUUCGGAUGACUUUUAGACUGAACCGCACGGUUCGGUUUGCGGUUUGCAUCUCAGCAACCGAACCAAACCAAACCAAACCGCAAAAAUACUCAAUGUUAUUAAACUAAGUAAGUAAUGUACUAGCCCAAUACCAAAGUGAACCCAAGCCCAACACUAUCCAGCUAUGAUAAUGUGUUACUUUGGAACUUCAAGUUGUUCUUUUUUGGUUCUUAAAUAUUAUUUUGGUAUUGUAAUGUUAUUUUAUAUAAAUAACUUUUAUUGGUAUUGUAAUGCUAUUUUGGAACUUCAAGUUCUUUUUUUGAAUAAUUAAAAUUGCUUGGUACUAGUUGGNNNNNNNNNNNNNNNNNNNNNNNNNNNNNNNNNNNNNNNNNNNNNNNNNNNNNNNNNNNNNNNNNNNNNNNNNNNNNNNNNNNNNNNNNNNNNNNNNNNNNNNNNNNNNNNNNNNNNNNNNNNNNNNNNNNNNNNNNNNNNNNNNNNNNNNNNNNNNNNNNNNNNNNNNNNNNNNNNNNNNNNNNNNNNNNNNNNNNNNNNNNNNNNNNNNNNNNNNNNNNNNNNNNNNNNNNNNNNNNNNNNNNNNNNNNNNNNNNNNNNNNNNNNNNNNNNNNNNNNNNNNNNNNNNNNNNNNNNNNNNNNNNNNNNNNNNNNNNNNNNNNNNNNNNNNNNNNNNNNNNNNNNNNNNNNNNNNNNNNNNNNNNNNNNNNNNNNNNNNNNNNNNNNNNNNNNNNNNNNNNNNNNNNNNNNNNNNNNNNNNNNNNNNNNNNNNNNNNNNNNNNNNNNNNNNNNNNNNNNNNNNNNNNNNNNNNNNNNNNNNNNNNNNNNNNNNNNNNNNNNNNNNNNNNNNNNNNNNNNNNNNNNNNNNNNNNNNNNNNNNNNNNNNNNNNNNNNNNNNNNNNNNNNNNNNNNNNNNNNNNNNNNNNNNNNNNNNNNNNNNNNNNNNNNNNNNNNNNNNNNNNNNNNNNNNNNNNNNNNNNNNNNNNNNNNNNNNNNNNNNNNNNNNNNNNNNNNNNNNNNNNNNNNNNNNNNNNNNNNNNNNNNNNNNNNNNNNNNNNNNNNNNNNNNNNNNNNNNNNNNNNNNNNNNNNNNNNNNNNNNNNNNNNNNNNNNNNNNNNNNNNNNNNNNNNNNNNNNNNNNNNNNNNNNNNNNNNNNNNNNNNNNNNNNNNNNNNNNNNNNNNNAUUAAUCAACUAACAUCUAAUCUAAAAAUGAUUUAUAACAUGUAAAUCUAAUUAAAAACUAAAAUAAAAAAAAUAAAUAUAAAACACCAAAAUAAUAAAUAACCCUAAAAUUCUAAAUUAUAACAUAAACAUCAUGCAAAUAUUUUAACAACAUUAAUCAACUAAUAUCUACUCUAAAAAUUAAUUAUAACAUAUAAAUCUACUCAAAAACUAAAAAAUAAUAAUUCUACUAAAAAACUAACAAAUAAAAACAUUUAUAAUAACUAAAAUGUAAGUUAAUAACAUUAUAAUUACUUACUUGUGAUUUUGUUGAAUAAAUUUGGUUGGGUUUUUUAGAGAAAUUUGUGAGAGAGAUUUAAAAUUUUGAAAGAUGAGAUGAAUAAUGGAUGAAAGAGCUUCUGCUAGAUUUAUAGCAAAAGAUCUUUGACAGUUAACUAUUGAGAUUUUUCUCAUCAGUUAACUGCAACAGUUUUUGAAUUUUUCAACAGUUAACUGCCGAAUGAGCAAAAAUGUAUUUUACUCGUGUCUUAAAGGUUCGGCUAAUAAUAAAAUUUCCACGUUAUUCUUUUAUAUGAAGACAGAUGUCACACAUCCUUUUUCCCAUACCUCUACAUCACUGAGCAUUUUGUCUUUUAAAAAUAUUCUGACCAAAACCCACCCCUCUCUCCCACCCCAAACCCCUCUCUCCACAUGCACUUCCGACCGCCGUUCCUCUUCUCCGAUUUAUUCUCUCUUCCACGUUCCUCACUCUCUCUGGCCGGUGUCUCCCUCAACCUCUAUCACCGGCCAUCAUCGCCACCGUUCGUCCAUACCUUCCUUCGUCAUCAUCAAUUUUUGUUCAGAUCUAAAACGCGAAGGUCACCAGUGGUUUAGCGCGAGACGGAGGCGUUCAGAUUGCGUUUGAAACUAUCACCGAUUAGAGAGUAACAGUGGCGCGAGAGAAACAUAGGCGAGGAAGAAGAGGGAGAGGAUGGCAGACAGAAGAGAGAGAGAGAUCUGGAAGGAGAGGUUGAUAUGGUGUGGUGAUGGUGGUGGUCGGUGGGCGUGGCGGCGUCGGCUAGGGAGGGUGGAUGGUUUGAGAAAAUAGAGUGAAGAGAAAGUGAGGGUGAAGGGAGAGAGAAUUUUAAGGGUAUGUUUGGACAAAAUUGCCCUCCAUUCGUAAUUUUUUUUGGUCAAGUAGGUAUUACUGUUAUAUUUUGUAUUUUUUUGAAUUUGUGUUGUAUUUUUUAUUUUAUAGUGAUAUAUAUUUUUUAGCCAUGUGGAUGUUUAUAAUUGAAAUAUAUAUAUCCUUCAAACAAAAAAAAUUUGAAAUAUAUAUAUAUAUAUAUAUAUAUAUAUAUAUAUAUAUAUAUAUAUAUAUAUAUUGAACUGAAGUAAUUACCAUUUGAAAAAAUGCCAAAAAAAUGAAAAUAACAAAUGUUUCGGUUGUAGCUAAAUAUUUUCUUUUUUUUAGUAGCUUAAUAACUAAUUAACUAUUUGAAAAUGGUAAUUUUUGUCCGGUAGUAAAUACAUCAUCACUUUGAAUAAAGUGAUUUUGUAACUAAGGAUGAUCAUUUACUCUCCAAAUUUCCCUCCUUUUCCUCUGUUUUCAAACUUUUCCAAAUUUCCUGUAUUUACUGAUUACACUCCCUUCUACAAACUCCUCCUUCCUUUCUAAUCUUCCAAAUUCUCUGAAUCAAUUUGUAUAGCAUCACAUUUAUCAUGAAUCACGAACAACAAUUGAUGACAGGAUCUUGCACCAAGUUAGAUAAUCCUUCUUUCAAUCCCUUUUUUCUUCUCUUUUCUUGAUUUACCAAGUUUUUGAUUUGCAUUUGUUUUGUUUUGUAGCUGUGGGCUUCCAAACCAUUCUGAAAAAUCUUGUUUUGAAAGACCCCAGAGAGUCCCUGCAAGGUUUCGCCAGAACCUUGUUCCAGAACCGAUUGCAAGAGAACUUGUUCCUGCAUCUGAUGGAUGGGACAGAUAUUUGUUGAAGAAAAAGGAAGACAAAGAUAGCACAGGAGGAUUCAGGUAAAGUUGUUCCCUACCUAUAUCUUGCUAAUGAAUGUAAUAGAUUACUCAUUGUAAUUUGUAUAUAGUUUUUUUUUGGGAGAAGCUUGCGCAUUAGAAAAGAAUUUUCCCGAAUAGUUUGCCAUAAAAAAUUGGAUUAUAUUGAUAUUAGGAUCUGAAAUUUUGUGAUUUCUUUUCGCAGAAGCUUACGCCUUCGAGGAGAUAUCCCCGAAUAUCUUCUAAAAAAAGUCUCAAAAGACUCCGACGAUACGACUGAUCUGACAACACAUUUUGAUCCUCGCACCCGGUUUAAUUAUAGGGAAAAAAUGUCAUCGGCAGACAAAUAUUUUAAUGCUGUAAGUUUUAACAUUAUUUUUAACAUGCAUUAGUUUUUUUGAUUAGUUUUAAAAUUUUUCUUUUGAAAUUUGAUAGGGAAGUCAACUCCAAAUGAGUUCUUGGGUGGAUAGAGAGGACAUUGUUCGAGGUUUUAUUAUUAUGCUUUUUCAAAGAAUCGAUAAAUAUUCAUUGAUUCAUUUGUAUUUUAUUUGGCUCUAUUAUUGAUUGUUUAAAUUUUCUGCUUUUUAGGUCCUGCUGGGUCAUCUGUACCUCAUGUAGCAAAUGAGGAUACAUAUGCUAGAUCGAUUCAUGUCGGUAAUGUAAGUGUUAAAUUUUCAUUUUAGUCAAGAUGAAUUGAAAUUUUAUAUUGUUACUUUGUUUUAUAUCUGAAGUAUGUUAUUUGCACGUGCUAUAUUUAGGUUUCUGUUGGUUUGUGAUUAUAUAUGAUUGCUGUUACUCUGUCAUUCUGCAAUCUGUUUGGCAGUUUCCAGGUUUUUGGUGCGUCAAUCAAUGGAACAUUUUUGGUGUGAUUAUAUAUGAUCUUUGCUGUUACAGAUUUUUUUCAUUUCAAGUUUUUGGUAGUUGAAAGCGACAAUCUGUAAAAUGUUUGUGAAAAUUCAGACUCGUUUAAAUUAUGAAUCAGGUUCACUAUGCAUGCACACCUAAGGAAGUUCAACAGCAUUUUCAGUCCUGUGGUACUGUCAACAGAGUCAAAAUAUUGACAGACAAAUUUGGUCGACCGGAAGGAUUUGCUUGUGUAGAAUUUGUUGAAGCUGAUGCUGUUCAGAAUGCUCUCGGUUUAAAUGGAUCUGAAUUACAUGGCCGACUGCUGAAUGUAUUUUUAUCUGAUUAUCCGUGUAAAUUCAAUUAAUCGCUCAUGUGUCCAUUUGAUUUACUUGAAUUAUGGUUUUUCUUUCAGGUGUCUUCAAAAUGCACUCAUGUUCCUGAAUUGAAGCAGUACAGAAGAAGGCAUGCUGGUUUCCGUGGCAGGAGGCCUGUCCGGUCUUCACCAUACUUUCCGCCAAAUGCUUACAGGUAAGCUUUUGAUUGUCUGUGCGCAAUGUGUAAAUUUUGGCAUCUUAAAGAAUAAAUAUGUUUACCUUUGUUUAAAUGGUGCUUCACAUCGCGACUGUGAUAUUUAAAAUUAGUGGAUGGGUUUUCUUUUCUAAUAGUAAUAGAUAUGGCAAUAGGUAACCACUUAAGUGUGUAUUUUUUUUUUUUUUAGCGAACCUCAUGUUUUGUAUACUUUCCUUUAGGCGUUUACCACGGCCGUAUCACAGCACAUUAGGCUUUUCUUCAUAUGGAUCGAGUACACACUCCCUUGCACAUCCCACUCAUAAAUGUAAUAAGAAAGUUAUUAGGAUUUUUUGGAAGCUUCAAGAUGACAAGUCCUUGCAUGUGUACUUUUAUGGGCAUAGUAGCACAGAUAUUGAAAAUUGCACUUAUGAUUGUAUAACCAAAAACUGCAUAGAAGGAGCUUAAAUUCUCAGAAUUUGGUAUUAAUUAGCUUAUUCUGAUAAAAUGAUAAUUUAUUAAAAGUUGCCAAGAUAUAAAUCGUUUAAUUUACGGCCCAUGCUUUAUUGAAAGUUGCCAUGUCAUUAGAUGUUUUUUAUUUAUUCACGGCCCAUGCUUUAUGUUUAAUUCUUACAUAAAUUGUUUUUCUAUGCAGAAGGGUUCCGAGAUAUAGAAGACCCACUCGAUACCAGCCAUACUAGUUCUUAUUCUUCAAAUGCCCUUCAAUGAGUCCUUGGUUCUGGAGGUUUACCUGUGCAGUGAAAAUUCUCUAUAGUUUACUGUUUUCAGAAAUUAAUUUUGGUGAUCGAUUUGGAUAUGUGCUGCUGGUGGCGUUUAGCCUGGCACAGUUAACUUCUUUCCCAUAAAGUUGAAAUUUUCCUGGCAGAUGCCGGUAUAACCGGUUGUUCCAAAUCAUAUUAAAUUUAUAUUUAAUUAUUAUAAUAUCAAGAAAGAAUUGCCUUUUUACACCUCCCAUUCCACACACCAAAACAUCCACUCCUCUCUCAUUUACUCAGCUUUAUCCCCUUUUUUCAUAUGCAGGAAGAAACAAAGUUAAAUCACAUCUAUCUCUCUUAGCUUCUCUGUGUUAAACUCUAUUUAUUGUGUGUACUUUACUUCAUCUCUUUGAAAUUAUCCCAUUGAAAAUCAUUUCUAUUGAACCCUUAAUCGAAGCUCCAUUUUAAUCCUGUCUUGAGGAGCAUUUUGUUCAGAUCUAGAAUAAGAGCUAUUUAUUUGAUGUAAAAAAUCAGCACACAGAUCGCUAUUUGAGAAAAGGCAACAACUUCAUAUAGAUCUUAACCCGUUUGAGAAGAGUAUUAUACUGAUAUAACUAAAGUAUUGAGAUCGAAAGGAUUAUCAACACCAAAAUGGAAACACAGUUUACGUUGCUGUUCACAGAUGACUUUUUUUACUCAUUUUCUGCACUGUUUUCUUUAUUUUGUUGAAGGCUAAUUGGGUGACCACAAUUUUGUAGUGGUCAGAAAAGAGAACUUGAAGUUCCAAUUCUAAACGUUAAAUAAAAAUGUUCCAUACAUGUUCUAAUUUUUUGUAUUUUACAUUUAUCAAAUUUUGUUGUUAGUUAUCAACAUUUUUUUCCCUUUCCAAAAUAAAGAAAAAACAAAAGUUAUUAGUGAAAAAACGUUAUGCUAACAUUUUAACAAAUUUUUAUUUUUUUUUUUAUUACAAAGAGGGCCGAAGCCCGUUCAUUUUAACAAAAUUAUUAACAAUUUGUGUUAUUCAAAUAUGCUCAAUAAAUAUAAAUUGGUCCUGCAUUUUCGUGGCCAGCAUUUUUUUAUGUCACACAAAAUAUAUCUUAUUAGAAAAAACCAAACAUAUUGGUAAAAAAAAACGUUACGCUAUCAUUUUAAUAUAUCUUAUUAAAAAUACCACAUAUUUUUUAAAAUAAAAUAAAAUAAACACAACAUUUAAAUGGUAAAAUAAAUAUAUGCUUCAAGAAAUAAAAAUAUGUCACUUAUUAAUAUUCAAAAAAUUUAUUCCAUGACAAAGUCCCAUUAUUUAAUAUAAAAAAAACAGUAUAUCAAACAAAUGAAAAAAGGUUAUUUAAUCAUUUAGUUGGGUCCAUGUUUUUGUCUCGCAAUACUCAACAAAAGGUAAGCCAUUACCAAGUAAUUGAUCCUAGCCAUCCGAAUAAAAUACUAUUAUAUCUAUUGUUGUGGUUAAACUUUUCCAUGAUAAGAAAGAACUCCCAUUUCCUAUGCUAAACCUCACCGUGCUUGCUGGAUUCAAUUUUUAUUUAUGCUUUCAGUAAUGUGAUCUAAUUGGUUAUGUGCUGCCGGAAUCAAUUUUUGAAGAAAUCAUGAGAUUUUCAAUGUAGAUAAUCAUUCCCCUCAGUACUUAAAUCAAAAAAGACAGAAAAGCAUCAUUGAAACCGAAAGAAUAUUCAAAAAAAAAAAAAGGCUGUAAAAAAUAUUCGUUAAAGUAAAAAAAAUGUCCAUUAACAUCGUUACUUUGUAAAAAAAGCUGUAAAAAAUAUUCGUUAAAUGUCAAUUGAGUUUAUGGUUGUUGAAGUCAUAUCACAAUAGAGGUUAUACAUCUCUAUAUUUCUUUAAAAAAAAAAAUCUCUAUAUUUGAUGGUCGAGAUAGGCAGAGACACGUUUUAAGUCAAAUUAGUUUCUCGAUAUACGAAUGAUAUUUAAAACUCUUAUAUCUGUUGUUUAGGCUUUUGAUCCUCUCCUUCUCUCCUUCUUCUUUAUUUUGUAUCUUUCUCUCAAUAAAUUUUAGUUAGAAGAACAUUAGAGAGAAAAAAAUAAAAACAAGAUUAAGAGAGAGAAUAUCAAGAGAGAAAGACAAAAUAUAAAAGAUGAGAGAAUAAGAGAAUGGAAGAAGGAGGAGAUCCAAAUACGCAUGUUUAGAGAUGACGCUGGGGUAACUUUUGUACCACAUCAUCCUAUAUGGUUGGUGCUUCUACAUCGGAUUUCUCAUGUUGGACUAGGUAAUUGGAUCUGUCUAUUGUGGAAUACUAAUCUUGAUUGUGCAUGGCCUAGGUCUCUUCUGUCGAUACCAUUGAAAAUAAUAUCCUUUUUUUUGGUACAAAAAUAAUAUUCAAAUCCAUUUAAAUAAAAAAGAGAGUAAAGUAAAGGCACACUAUAUUGCAACAACCCAAAUAUAUUUUUACCCCUCUUGCUAAUAUACACCUUUCUUUAACUAUUAUAUGCAAGAAAUCAUUUUUUUUAAGGUUUAAAUGUGUCAUUGGUUCUUGCACUUUCAUCAUAUUUGGCAUUGGUCCCUGUACUUUGUAAAAAUAUUGGUAUUGGUCCCUCUGUUAACUUUCUGUUAAAAAAAAAACACAAAACUAACAGAGUGCCACGUGGCCCAAUCAUUUCACACCACGUGACACCAAUAUCAAUAUUUUUACAAAGUGCAUUGACCAAUACCAAUAUUUUUAUAAAGUGCAGGGACUAAUACCAAGUUUGUGUUUUUUUUUAACAGAAAGUUAACAAAGAGACCAAUACUAAUAUUUUUACAAAGUACAGGGAUCAAUUCAAAACAAAAAAAAGUGUAGAGACUAAUGUCAAAAUCUGAUGAAAGUGCAGGGACUAAAGGCAUAGUUAAACUUUUUUUUAAUUGAUUGAUUAAUUGAUGUAUCUGACCACUUCAUUAUUAUAAGUCAAGUACAUUAGUUAUUCAACGAACCUAAAAGUUGUUUUUUUGCUUAUAACAGUGACCAGAAGAUGUAUAAUACAUUCGUUUUCAUAUAUAAGUAUUUAUUCUUUCAUAAUGGUUAACUCAAUUCAAUUGACAAUAUCAAUAUUAUUAGAUUGAAUAUCUUCAUCUAGAUACAAACUCAAAACUUGAAAGUAAUGUGCUUGUGAGUUUCAGCGGUGCUUGCAACCUCUUCUACAAACUAAAUAAUUUCUUUUCAAACUUACUUUUUGGAGAACUCCGAAUUAACAUGACCCCUUCCUUUGAAAUUAGAGGGCUAACACAAACAAAAUUAUAUAUUCUAUAAAAACGAGUCUGUGCGAAUGAAAUAAUACAUCAUUCUUUUUAUGAGAAAUUAUAUUUGUACAAUCAUUCUGUGACAAUUUUAUCUCUCGUACUUAUAUUGUGUUUUUACUUUAUCUCACUUGCUUUGAUAUUUGUGUCCAUACUCAAUACCUGUUUUUUUUUUUUUUUUUUUUUUUUUGUAUAUUUUAGUUAAGGACCAAAUUGAAAUGAAAAAAAAGAUAAAGGACCAAACUGUUACCUGAAAUUAAGUUAAGGGACUAAAAAUGUAAUUUUGCCUAACAUAAUUCAUGCAAUCAAUUUUUUUUCUUCUAUUUACUGUUGAAUUGUAACGCACAUAAUAAUUCAUGCAAUUAGAAAGUUUUUAUAUUUCCUUUGACAUAAAUCAUUGUUUAUGGAUUUCACAAUAUAUAUUGCACCUUCUCCAAGAGUAACAUGGUGGCUCUUAAUUUUGGGUUUUGCUUGAUGUGUUUGGCAAUUAUCAGUAUAUUAUUGUUUGAGUUUUUGCUCUAUGAUAUAUAACCAUACGAGUAAUAAGAAGAUAUGUAUAAUUGGGAUAAUGAAAAAGUAAGUAUAAAUAUAUUCAUCUACUUUGUUACACUUUUUAAAUGAUAAAGGAAAAAACCACACACACACAUCUACUUUGUUACAUUUUCAACUUUUUAACAACUUUAUCUCUUAUACUCACAUUAUAUUCUUACCAUCUCUCUUCAUUAUCCCAAUUAUACCCUUAAACAAUUUUUUCUAUAAUAAAGAUUGUUGUUGUUGAUGUCAUUAAAAAAAUAAUUUAAAUUAUAUUUUUUGUUAUAUUGUUUAGGUCAUUGAAAUAGAUAAUCAUGAUUAGUUUGAUUUAUUAUAACUUGAAAGCAACAAAUAUUUAUAAUUUUUUUAAGAAAAUAUUUAUAUUUAUAUUUUUAAUAAAAAUCAAAAUUUCUUAAAAAAAUAUCGUUCAUAAUUUUCAAAUGUUAACGCAAUAAAAAAAGUGAGAAGACGGGCGUGUCGGUCUUUUCGCUAGAUUCUUUACUAUAUACAAAGAAAAUAAUCGCUUUUAGCUCUUUUAUGCUGACUUUUUCUUUUUAAAAAAUGCUCUCAAUUUUCAAUACAAAUAAUAAUAAAUUUAAAUAUUAAAAUAAAAGUGUAACAAACUUUUUUUUUUUUUAAGGAAAAAGUGCAACGAACAUAAAUAUUCAUUUUUUUUCUUUAUCAUUUAAAAAGUGUAACAAAUUAGAUGAAUGUAUCUAUACAUACUAUUUUAUCGUUUUAGAUUUAUUUUUUUGUUAUAUCUUUUGUUUAAUUGAAGUAAGAUAAUCAUGGUAGUAUAAUUUGUUAUUUGUUUUAUACUUUUAAUUAAAAUUAAAAUUUCGCUGCUAUAUAUAACAUAGAUUAAUGGACGUAAGAAGUGCUAUCUACCAACCAACGAAACGAAACCCUUAAACAUAAACCAACCAUCGAUCAGUGAAGAUCGAUCGAUCUACCAUGAGAACCUGCUGCUCUCACACCCUGCCCAUGAAAAGGAAAAGAAUUUGUUAUCUGAAAUCUUCAUCGGAAAACUUACCACCGUCGAAACUGACCAAGAGAACCAGCUGCGCUCAUACCCUGCCAAUGAAAACGAAAAGAACCUUUUCCCUGAAAUCAUUACCGGAAAAUUUACCACCGUCGAAACUAAUCACGAGAACCGGCUGCUCUCAUACCCUGCCAAUGAAAGCGAUAAGAACUUGUUCCCUGAAAUCUUCACCGGAAAAUUUAGCAGCGGCGAAACGGACCGAAGAUCGAUCUACCAUCUGUCCAUCUUCACCGGCCGGAAGUCCAUUGAAAAGGAAGAAGAGAACUUCAGAAUCAUAUUUACCUGACGAUUGUUGGGAGAUUAUCAUAAAAUCAUCUCAAAUCAACUUCAAUUCUCUAUCUCUCGUUUCAAAACAAAUCCUCUCCAUCACUAAUCGUCUUCGGUUUUCACUCUCCGUCACUGAUGCAUCACGUCAUUACCUCCCUCGUCUCUUGAAAAGGUUCACCAACCUCACUUCCCUCGACCUCUCCCGCUACAACUAUUUACCGAACGAUCUUCUCUGCAAAAUAUCUAACUUCCCAUUGAAAAAACUCACAUCACUCAAACUCCCUGUCCCUACCCCCUUUCCAGCAGAUGGCUUGCUCGCAUUCUGCCAAACCGUUACAACAU